AACUGCGUGGUGUGCACAGAGCAAACUAUUCUUUCCCCUUUUACUAGAGAAUACCGUGUGCACGCCGAUGCUCAGCAGCACACGCCACCCUUUGGAAGGCUCUCGCCUAUACUGGCCU